CAAGAUAAAGUUGCAUGUGGCAUUCAAUCCAUUAUGAAUAUGCUAGCUAUGAGUAACGUUACCACUUCUAUAGGAACAUCCACGGGAUCAGCUGUGCCAUCUUUCUCUCUGAAUACUUUCAGCUUUAUUUAA